rnacentral:rRNA from 1 species
UACGUAGGGGGCAAGCGUUGUCCGGAAUCAUUGGGCGUAAAGAGCGUGUAGGCGGCCCGGUAAGUCCGUUGUGAAAGUCGAGGGCUCAACCCUCGAAUGCCGGCGGAUACUGCCGGGCUAGAAUCCGGAAGAGGCGAGUGGAAUUCCUGGUGUAGCGGUGAAAUGCGCAGAUAUCAGGAGGAACACCAAUGGCGAAGGCAGCUCGCUGGGACGGUAUUGACGCUGAGACGCGAAAGCGUGGGGAGCAAACAGGAUUAGAUACCCUGGUAGUCCACGCCGUAAACGAUGGACAUUAGGUGUGGGAGGUGUCGACUCCUUCCGUGCCGAAGCUAACGCAUUAAAUGUCCCGCCUGGGGAGUACGGCCGCAAGGCUAAA